AGGUUCUCCUGUGAUAUGUUUUCAUGGUGUGGGUUUAAGACUUGGUGGUCUUACACAGCUAAUAUGAAGGUUAGCAUCACAGCUUGUCUGUAAGGACUGAAGCUGGGAGUGGGCAUUGGAGCUGACUUUUAUGGUAACUGUGGCUGCAUAAAAGGGCUAUGUGAUUUUACUGUAACAGUAAAGAAAGUAAUUCAGACUAUUAUGUGAUUUUACUGUAACAGCAAAGAAUGUAAUUCAGACUAUUUUUGUGUAUGUUUGAGAAAAUGUUUAUAGUUUUUACCAUACAAAGAAAAAAAAAUAUGUACAGGUUCUCCAUUUUCAGCAAGAUUGGAAGUUGUAGUUUAAUAGGUCUUUGAAAUUUAAAAAAAUACUGUUUUUUGUUCAUACUCAUAUCUAGACAAAACACUUCCAGUAGUUUAAGAAUGGAGAAUCUAAAAAAAAAAAAGAAAAAGAAAAAAAAAUGUUCAAUUAUUGAAAGGUUUUUGUUCAGCCUUUGACUUUAGUCUAUAAAGAGAGACAUAGGGAUCCUUUAUUCUGUUAUUGGCUUGGUCUGCUGGCGUUGGACCACAUAUGAAGGGGGACACUAAAGGAGGGGUCCUGAUCCCAAAAUCCUGUGCUUAAAAAAUAGGAAAUCCUGAGGUCCCGAAAUUGGAAAAAAAUCUAAUUCCUUGAUCCCGAAAUCCCGAGCUUAAAAACACCUGAUCCCAGAGUCCUGAUAAAGGUCCUAUCCCCUUCAUAUAUAUUCAGUAAUUUACUUGCAUAAGCUGGACUUCAGCUUUUUCCUCAAUUUUGUUGAGUCUGAAAUUAACACUGGGUUCCGUGGAACCAUUACAAAUUUAUCAAGAUACAAAAUAUUUAAAUAAUUUUUUCUGGUGUGAUUUGAAAAGUCCCUCCUUCCCCUUGACAACCAAUUAUUUAUUGCUUAAAUUAUUUGGAUGAAUUUACUUUAAAAGGUAAAAAAAAAAUGAUAGUAGUUAAUAUUGUAUGCAGAGUGUGUGAUAUAUUUUUCUGGUUCGGCAAGGUCUUUAAAUGCAUUUUUUUUCAAUUUUCAGAUCCCACAAACAUAAGCUAAAGGAACCUGCAAAAUAAGAUUUUUCUUUGUUUAAUUUGUAAUGAUAUGUUUAAGAGGAAAAUGUUUGUAUUUGCCCAUCUUUGUCUUCUAUCCAAAACUCCAAUUACAUAUAGUAAUCUGUAAAGUGGAUCCCGAGAUCAUAUAUGUAGGGUAGAGUUUCAAUAAAACACAGAAUUAAAUGUUUUAUGUUCUUAUGUUUUAUAAGAACUUUAUGGAUCGCUACUGUGAUUUAAUUAGAUAUAUUUUGGUUCCUAGGGCACCUUCAUCAGGAUUAAAACUACAGGAUAGUCCAAAAAUCAUGUAAUUUAUAUUUCACAAUGUCACCAUCAGGAUAAAUCAUGAAUAGGGUGUGAAGGUAGAUAUGAAAAUUAACUGGAGCAAGAAUGUUAAAUAAAAUAUGUUUUUGUAAAUUUGGACGACAUUUGACUUGCAAUUAUGUACCAUUUACUAUACUGGAUGUAGUACAGACUUGCUUAACGUACCAUUUCAAUACUGGGAAAAGUACGUUUGUCUGAGCGAAGCCAAUUGGAAGCAUGUACCUCUUAGUGAAGCUAAUUGGGAGUACAUACCCUCUGUCUUGUUGCAAAGCUGAUUGGAAGCAGUACAUAUAUACCUCUGUCUGCUAAAGCUAAUUAGAAGCAGUACCCUUGGCAGAGUGGUCCCAAUUAGAGGCAGUAACUCUGAGCGAAGCCAAUUGGAAGCAUGUACCUCUGCAAAAUUUGAUCAAAUACUAUUCAACAAAUUUUAUUUAACAUUCUUUUAAAGUUUACUUUCAUAUCUUCUUUUCUUUUUUUAUUUAUUAUUAUUCCCCCUGUUGACAUUAAUUAUUAAGUGUAAAUUAUCACUUCACCAUUUUGUACUCUUUUGUCACUAAGUUUUUAUUCUGAUGAAAGUGCUGUAGAAAUUAAAACAUGCCAAUACAGUUUGAUUACUCCAACAAUCCCUGAAGUAUUAUUAUAAGAAUUAUCAUAAAUGAAUCUUUUAUAGACCAUUGAAAUAAAAAUAAAUACUAUGCAUUUUGCUGAUUAUUUAUUUCACUUUUUGUCAAGCCUUCGAAUGUAGUUGGAAAAGCAAGAAAUAGCAAUUCUUCAUCCUUUUGUCAUAAAUAUUCACUCUGUAGUUUAGGUUUUUGAAAUUUUAAUUAUUUUCUUAAACUAUCCUGGAUUUUUACAAAACUUGGACAGAAGCUUGUUUAUGACCAUAAGAUAAUAUCUAGAAGUAAAUUUUGUAAUUUAAAAAAAAAAUCAAUUUUUACUUAUAACUGGACUUUCUAUCAGAAAACAAUAUAUUCAAUCUGUGGUUAAAGUUUUUCAAUUUUUUUAAUAGCUUUCUUAAACUAUCCUGGGUUUGUACCAAACUUGGACGGAACCUUGUUUAUGAUCAAGAGAUAAUAAUAAGUAUCUAGAAGGAAAAUG